rnacentral:rRNA from 1 species
AGAGUUUGAUCAUGGCUCAGAUUGAACGCUGGCGGCAGGCCUAACACAUGCAAGUCGAACGGUAACAGAAAGCAGCUUGCUGCUUUGCUGACGAGUGGCGGACGGGUGAGUAAUGUCUGGGAAACUGCCUGAUGGAGGGGGAUAACUACUGGAAACGGUAGCUAAUACCGCAUAACGUCGCAAGACCAAAGAGGGGGACCUUCGGGCCUCUUGCCAUCGGAUGUGCCCAGAUGGGAUUAGCUAGUAGGUGGGGUAAAGGCUCACCUAGGCGACGAUCCCUAGCUGGUCUGAGAGGAUGACCAGCCACACUGGAACUGAGACACGGUCCAGACUCCUACGGGAGGCAGCAGUGGGGAAUAUUGCACAAUGGGCGCAAGCCUGAUGCAGCCAUGCCGCGUGUAUGAAGAAGGCCUUCGGGUUGUAAAGUACUUUCAGCGGGGAGGAAGGGAGUAAAGUUAAUACCUUUGCUCAUUGACGUUACCCGCAGAAGAAGCACCGGCUAACUCCGUGCCAGCAGCCGCGGUAAUACGGAGGGUGCAAGCGUUAAUCGGAAUUACUGGGCGUAAAGCGCACGCAGGCGGUUUGUUAAGUCAGAUGUGAAAUCCCCGGGCUCAACCUGGGAACUGCAUCUGAUACUGGCAAGCUUGAGUCUCGUAGAGGGGGGUAGAAUUCCAGGUGUAGCGGUGAAAUGCGUAGAGAUCUGGAGGAAUACCGGUGGCGAAGGCGGCCCCCUGGACGAAGACUGACGCUCAUGUGCGAAAGCGUGGGGAGCAAACAGGAUUAGAUACCCUUGGUAGU